GCCGCCGUAGACCAACGGAAGAGUCGAUGGUUUCAAGAACCAUGAAGUGGAGGUUCGAGUCCUCUCGGCGGCACCU
rnacentral:tRNA from 1 species